rnacentral:rRNA from 1 species
UACGUAGGGGGCAAGCGUUAUUCGGAAUUAUUGGGCGUAAAGGGCGCGUAGGCGGCGUGACAAGUCACUUGUGAAAUCUCCGGGCUUAACCCGGAGCGGUCAAGUGAUACUGUCGUGCUAGAGUGCGGAAGGGGCUACUGGAAUUCUCGGUGUAGCGGUGAAAUGCGUAGAUAUCGAGAGGAACACCUGCGGCGAAGGCGGGUAGCUGGGCCGACACUGACGCUGAUGCGCGAAAGCCAGGGGAGCGAACGGG